GGAUUCCCUUAGUAACGGCGAGUGAACCGGGAUGAGCUCAAAUUUAAAAUCUGGCGUCUUUCAGGCGUCCGAGUUGUAAUCUAUAGAGGCGUUUUCCGCGCCGGACCGCGUCCAAGUCUCUUGGAAUAGAGUAUCAAAGAGGGUGACAAUCCCGUACUUGACGCGACAACCGGUGCUCUGUGAUACGUUCUCAAUGAGUCGAGUUGUUUGGGAAUGCAGCUCUAAAUGGGUGGUAAAUUCCAUCUAAGGCUAAAUAUUGGCGAGAGACCGAUAGCGAACAAGUACCGUGAGGGAAAGAUGAAAAGCACUUUGGAAAGAGAGUUAAACAGCACGUGAAAUUGUUAAAAGGGAAACGAUUGAAGUCAGUCGUGUGAAAGGUAUUCAGCCGUCUCUGGCGGUGUAUUUGCCUUUCACGGGUCAACAUCAGUUUGAUCCGGUAGAAAAAGGCGGGAGGAAGGUGGCACCCUCGGGUGUGUUAUAGCCUCCUGUCAUAUGUGCCGGACCAGACUGAGGAACGCAGCUUGCCGCAAGGCCGGGGUUCGCCCACGUACAAGCUUAGGAUGUUGACAUAAUGGCUUUAAACGA
rnacentral:rRNA from 1 species